AACGAACGCUGGCGGCAUGCCUAACACAUGCAAGUCGAACGACACCUUCGGGUCUAGUGGCGCACGUGUGCGUAACGCGUGGGAACCUCCCCUUAGGUUCGGAAUAACUCCCCGAAAGGGAUUCUAAUACCGUAUAAUGUCUUCGGACCAAAGAUUUAUCGCCUUUGUAUGGGCCCGCUUUGGAUUAGCUAGUUGGUAGUGUAAAAGCCUACCAAGGCGACGAUCCAUAGCUGGUCUGAGAGGAUGAUCAGCCACACUGGGACUGAGACACGGCCCAGACUCCUACGGGAGGCAGCAGUGGGGAAUAUUGGACAAUGGGCGAAAGCCUGAUCCAGCAAUGCCGCGUGAGUGAUGAAGGCCUUAGGGUUGUAAAGCUCUUUUACCCGUGAAGAUAAUGACAGUACCGGGAGAAUAAGCUCCGGCUAACUCCGUG
rnacentral:rRNA from 1 species